GGUGUGGAGUGCAGUGGCCAAGGGAAUGAGUUGGAACAGGCAGAAGUUACCUACAUUCUCCUCCACCACCUGUGACCUUGGUCCUUCAGGGACAAGCCAGCAUGAGGGAUGAAUGAAUACGCAUGAGGGAGCAAAGACAAGGCAGGGGAUCAAGCCAGAAGGAUUUGGUAGCAAAGAAGGGAUUGACAUUGGCACUGAUGGGAAGGAGAGACUGCCGUGGUUUGCCCAAAAAUGAGACAGAACGUUUUCUUUCCUCCUGACGGAUAUGCAUUGGAAACAGGCAAAAGCUGAGAUUGGGAAGGUGAUGAGAGAAACAAUACAACCAGAACCCCGUCUCCACAAUCUGAAG
rnacentral:lncRNA from 1 species